rnacentral:rRNA from 1 species
UACGAAGGGGGCUAGCGUUGUUCGGAAUUACUGGGCGUAAAGGGCGCGUAGGCGGUCCUGAUCGUCGGAUGUGAAAGGCCUGGGCUCAACCUGGGAAUGGCAUUCGAUACGGCGGGACUGGAGUGUGGGAGAGGUUGGUGGAAUUCCCAGUGUAGAGGUGAAAUUCGUAGAUAUUGGGAAGAACACCGGUGGCGAAGGCGGCCAACUGGACCACAACUGACGCUGAGGCGCGAAAGCGUGGGGAGCAAACAGG